GUAGGCUCUUGGCCAAGAGUGAAAUAGGCUCAGGCCUCUUGAAGUAUUGAGAUCUUUAAAAGUGCGUGUGUGCUUGUGUGUGUGUGUGUGUGGGUGUAUGUGUGCAUGCGUGUGCGCGUGUGUUUAAAAUCAUGUUACUUUAUUCCUCCCAUUCUUAACCAUUUUCACAUCUCCGCAUUCUACUAGAGAGAUAGUUGGCUUUGACAAUAAGAAGAGACAUGUAUUGACAGUGUGAGUCCUCUCUUCCCUUCACCGCAGGCUUGCGUGGUAGCAGCCCUCUCGCUUCUAGUUCUGACCUGACUCCUGCGCCAGUAUGGAAACUUCCCUGUUACUUCUUUUUGUGUUUUCAACGCAGCAUGGAGGUGGGCUUGAGGAAGAAGCCUAUAAAGCAAGGCCGGCCUCUCUCCUACAGAAUGGGGUCUUUUCAUGUUGGGCUUUGCGAGAAAGCUCAGGUCUCUGAAGGGAAGAAGGGUAUGCUUUGCUUGUCCUGUCUGAAAAGACCAGACCAUGUGUGCUACUAGGACUGGGAGAAGCCAGGGGGUUAAGAUACUAAAGACAAUGAAAUUGUGAUUUGGAAUUCUGAAGACAUGGUGUCUAAGUUACAUUAUGAAUGUAAAGAGUUUAUCUAGUGGGAAACAACUGCAGUGUGCAGCCUGUUUGGCGUCAGAGCUUGAAUUUCACAGCAUUGGUAUAAUGCAUGAGCAAGCCCAGCCAACAGACACUGUUGUAUUCAGAUUAUUUCUUAGUGGCUGGCUUUUGAUUCUAGACAGAGAUUCUUAAAGUCCUUUUAAAAAAGUGGAUCAGGAAUCCUGUUAUGGGCCUUGAUUGUUCCAGACAUUAGAAGUAAAUAUAUUUGAUGAAGGAAAUCUUGAAAAAAUACUGACUAGAUAAAAAUUGUAAGCCAAGCUUUCUGACUGAAAAAUGCUACCUAGCCACAGAUCAUUGCUGUUAUUUGGUUCAUUGCAUGAGUGUGUAUGUGUGUGUAUAUAUGUAUACACAUAUAUAUGUGUGUGUGUGUGUAUGUGUACACACACAUAUAUGUGGGUUUUGGGGGGUAUGGAUAAGAUGGUGCUAUGAAAAUAAUUUGUCUCUUGUUUUAAUUAAUGAAGCUUCUGUCAUGCCAAGUAGUCUUUAGGGAGAAGUCAGAAUCUUUUCAUUAAAAGUCAUAGGGAAACAGAAGUUGUACGGGUGCUGCUUGCCAAGGACAGACUAGAAAAGACACUGAGGCAGUUACUAGUGCUGACACACUGGCCCAACGGAGAGAGAAUGUAUGGGAAGGAAUAUGUCUUACUUACGGUGACUUUGUGGUUCUUAAUCUGCAUGUUUGAGUUGUCUGCAGCGCCUGCCGUUGCUGUGCACAACAAGGAGCUCCUUGCUGAUAAACCAGUGAUAUUUCUUGAUGUGUAACUUUUGAAGUAACAUUUCUUUCUUGGUAUUUCCUGUGUUGUGCAAGAUAGAUGUGUCAUCAUGAUUACUAACUUUAGGCUUGGUAUUUGUUGAGAUUUUGUUUUCCAUCCUGACCUUCCCAAACGGAAAAGUACCUUUUAGUUUGCAUCUUUGUCUGUGAUGAUUUGAUUUGGGGACGUGGACUGUUUUUUUAAUCACUCUCAUUAAUGUCACGUGUUUUCUAAUCACAUGCAAUCCCUUAGCACAAAGGUUGUCAUAUUUGGUGUCAUAGCAUUUCUUCACAGUAAACCUGUUGUUAAGUUUCCUAGAACUCUGUAGUGGACUAGAAAUAACUGCUUACUAGAGUCUUCUAAAGAGCUACUUCAUGCUGUAGUCUGGUCUUCUACUGUAGCUCAACACUGAGUUUGAUUAGUUGAGACCUUACUAUAUUAGUUCCUUCUGGUACUGUCUAUAGAUAGAUGCAGUGUCUGCUUCUAAGUCAGUGCGUAGGUCCUGAACUCCCUCGUGGGCUCUGCAUGAACUUCUGCAUUGCAUUAUUUUGGCGUAGCAGAUAUACCUGCCAGCUAGCAUGCAUAUUGUCCAGUUUCUGUAUAAAUAUGGCUUCUAAGCCAUGUGUGUCUCCUACCUUCAUACUUUCAAGGGGUGAGAAGUAGUAGUUGUAUAUCUAAAGUCAGCCGUGUAAGCAUGGCUCUUUGUUUUUUCUUUUAAUCUAAACUGUCAAGAAGAAAUGCGAGUGGUAAGCAGGCUUGGAGCCUCAACUUCUGUAAAUUUCAUUCCUAAGAGUUUGCUUGACUUUUACGUUGGCAGAAAUAAAUACCUGUGGAUUGUCUUUAGGGCUUUUAGCAUAUACCUGUGUUAUUGGCUAAACUCUGGUGAAUCAUUAACCUAAAGCCAGUGUGGUCUUCUGAAGUAUCCAGUUAUGCCUUUUGGGUUAGAAAAUACCUAAAUAUUAGUCUACUUUCCUCAUUCAUGAAUCAUUGUUUUUGUAUCUGAGACUCAGCAUCUCUUCCUUCUUGUAAAUGAUUUUAGUGUUUGCUUUAGUGUAUCCUAUAUAUCUCUAUUAUUAUUAGGUUCACCAGUGGUGAUAGAAAAAUUGAAUAUCUCCAAUUGCAAACAGCAGUAGAUUUGAUUAUUGAAACAAAAUCAUGGUAACAUCACUGCUGGGGUUCCUGAAGCCUUUGCAACAAAAUUCACCUCUCACACCUCGCUUCUAGACAAAGGCAAUUGGAGGGGUCCUAUCUAUCCUAGUAUGGUUGGAAUCUAAAUAUAUGCGUUUCCAUUAUUUUGGGAACUAAUUACUUUUUAAAGAUUUUUUUCUUUUGUUGAUGAGUUAUUUUGAUACUCAUGCUAGGAAAAGGGAGAAACAAAACCAUCUUGAGAUUGGAAUUCCUGUUUUAUUCUCCUGAGAUGGGAGAACUUAAGCAGUCUAUGCAACCCAUCAGAUGGUGAGAAAUAGCUUUCUACCAUUCCACUGAGCUCUCAGUGACCCUCAUACGUCCUCAAAUGUCUUGGCAUUGAUUGAGGUUUCGAUCUUGAUGUUUAGGAAGCAUUCUCGCUGCACCACACUGUCAUUUCUUUCUUACUCCUCAGUGGAUGGAAACUUGGAAGAAGAGUGGUACUGUGAUGGUACCUGAUGGAGUGGUCCAAAUUCCCAGUUGUUUCCUAAGUGGGUGAGCUCUCCGUUUUAGUAUUCUAAAGAUGUUAACGUGAACUUGGCAAUGGAAAGGGGAAGGAAAAUAAUAUUUAAUAAAAAUCAGUGUCUACGCUUUCCCUUUAUGAGUGUGUAUUCCUGGUUGUAUGAAGAGAAACUCAUGGGUUUUGUGUUGCCAUGUGAAUGUCGAGAGGGAUGCUUGACAGCAUGUUAAUUGAAGCCAGAGCAAGUAUGUCUGCCGUCAGGUAAUCUGGAGAUGCCAGUGUAUGCUGAGGGAGUGAUUAGCUGAUGGCUAUAAUGAAGUCACUUACAAAGCAGAAAGGCUGUCUGGCCGGCCGAAGAACCCAAGGAAAGCAGUGCAGCAGCCUCACUCACGUAGGUGUGAUUUAGGGUUCUGAACUGGAAACUGAUCUGUAUUACCUGACUUUCCACAACUGUCCAUUUUCUUAUCAGACCAAAGAACAAAAAGAAAAAAAAAACAUGAAAAAGCGAAGUAACACACCUUUACCGGUUUAUGUCACUCAGGUACAAUUUCGUGGGGAGGUUUAGGUUUGUUUUGUUUUGUUUUGUUUUGUCUGAUUUUUGUACUGCUCAGCAUAUUAUUCUGCUGUCGCCUCUGUCCUCCGUGGGGCACCUCAGUUUUGGGUGCUACUCCUGGGAUCUCUACUGCUGUUAGGUGAAUGAUGAUAGGAUGGAAGUGACCAUUAUCAUAAGGGCUCUUUGU
rnacentral:lncRNA from 1 species